UGCUACCUGACAGGCGCGUCUCCGGCGGCCCCAGGUUCGUCCCUCUUUACUUUUUGGCCUCCGCCAGAAAAGGGGAUUCAUCGAGAUGGUGCUUCGAUCCAAUCGCGAUUCCUGCUUUCAAACAGAUAGAGAUCAAGCAGUGCGGCGGCGGCGGCUAGGAGCCACGAGCGCGACGUCGCCGGCGAUGGCUCGGAGUCACGAGCGCGACGGCGGCUGGGAAAGGACUGCAGCACUACUACUUGCGGUGACAGGAUGGUGCGUGUGCCGCCCCAAGGCCGGAGCCCACCUAGCCAUGCAAGCACCCGAGCUGCUUCCUCCAGUCGCCCCCCUCCAUAGCUACAUCUUGGUGCUAUUGGGGCAUAUUUUUUCAUGGUUGGAAUCAAGAUGUUGUUGUUGUUGGAGCUCACAAGAAAGGUAUUAUGAUAGUGAUUAGUGAGAGCAGCGAUGGUGUGGACGGGCUCGCGCGCUCCUGCUAGCUGGACGAACCAAUCGAUGACACGGCGUGUACUGUAUUCAAUGCGAGCGUAUGGAGACAGGCCGACUGCAUACGGCCAGGAGUAACGUGUGAAGACGGAGCCGGGUAAAAUAACGGGUAAAUUCCAGACCAGGAUUUUGAUGUUCCGUUGGUACAGGUAUGUUGGCAAUUAUAUUGUUGUUAUGAAGAUCGCGACGACGGGACACGAUGAAGUCGAGUUCUUGUCAGAUCCAAUCAACAGGUAAACUUUGCCAAACCCAUUUUCUCUUCUCUGUGGUAGCCCCUGCAUCUAGACCAUCAUCUUACUCAUAUACUGCUUAAUUUAUAAAAGAUUUCUCCUUUUCCGUACAUCGGUUUAUUCAAAACGUUUUAUCUUUUAGAUCGUGCGUUCAAAUUUCUAAUGGUUUUCUCAUUGGAUUCCUCACGUCGAGAUCUUCAAAACUAAAUCUCAUGUUGAUAGGUUCUGACAAACUUUUUUUCGCGAAAAAACCGGUCGAGAAAAACCAAAGGAAAAAACCGAACUAGGAGCAUGUUUUGUUUUUCCUUCUCGAAAGAGGCGCGUGCCUCUCGCGAAAGCACAACUGUGCCUUUUUACGGAAGCAAAAUCGUGCCUCUCGCGAAAGGAAAAAAAACGCAUUUUUUUCGUUUUUCGAGAGGCACGGCCGUGCCUCUCGCGAAAGGAAAGAAACAUGUUUUUUUCUUUGUUUCGGAGAGACGCGAAGCAAAACCGUGCCUCUCGCAGAAGGAAAAAAAAGAGGAAAUGCAUUUUUUUCGUUUUCGAGAGGCACGGUUGUGCCUCUCGCGGAAGCAAAAUCGCGCCUCUCGCGAAAAGGGGAAAAGAAAAGGAAAACACAAUUUUUUUCCGUUUUCGAGAGGCAUGGUUGUGCCUCUCACAAAAGCAAAACACUACCUCUCGCGGAAGCAAAAAAAAAAAGGAUCUUUCGGGCAAAAAAAAUUAAAAUUGUUUUGUCCAAAACCUAAGGUAGACCGGUGAAAAACCGAAAAGUCAUGAAAACAUGAAAAAUUUGUUCAAAAAGCCAAAAACGCGUGCGGAAAAAUAAAAAUAAAAAAAUCCGGAGGGAGCGCUCAGAGCGCGACACGUAGCGGCGGCUAAGAGCGCGCCCCAGUUUAUUGUUGUGAGGCUCCCGAAGGAGCGCUCGUCAACUAGUUGCUCUCUUGUUUACCUGGACAACCUUGUAAUUUUGGUCAUAACAACGUAAACAAGGCCCAUAAACACGUCAAGCACACACAUAAUAACCAUCCCUUUAUGUACAUUUUUGCUGAUUUUUCCUUGGUGUUUUUUCCAAUGUUGAAAAUAAUGGCAAAAAGAAAAGAACUUUGUGUUGUUUGGCGCAUCCAACUGCUACAUACAAACAUUCAGGACGAAAAAUAUGUGACAUUUCCGCAUGCGAAAAAAUAAAAUGAAUUCAAACACCAACUGUUACCAGGAAAAAAAUAUCUCCUAAUGUUUUUCCACCAGCAAUAUACGCCUGCUCCAUUUCCCUUUGAAAAUUUCAUGUACGCUCUUUCCACUAACACUAGCAUUUAAAACAAGUGACGUGUUUCUUUUUUAGUAUAUGCGAGUACAAUUUUUUUCCACUACUCACACUUGCCUUCCCGCUCUCGGUGCCAAAAAAGACCGUAAUUAAAAUGUUCGCACGGUGCAUAAUUUAAUUUAAUUUUGGCGUGAAGGCAUACUGAAGUUGUUGAAAACAAUUUUGCUGUGGUAAAUGAUAAAACAUGGCAGCUAAUUCACCAGCAAUAGGUCAGCCCAGUAUUUGCACUUCACCCAAACACUCCCUCGCGCGGCCACCUGUGCUGAUAUCUCUACCUACUAAUAAACCAGCGAUCACUUCUGGUCGUCCGUCGUUAGUACUUUUGCAAAAAAGUCCCUGUACUUUUGGGUAAUCAACCAGCAGUCCACGAUUAAGUGAAUAACGUUUCGCUCAGCACGUUUUACAUAAAAACACCUCAUAUUUUACAUAAUCAGCCCGCAGUCCAUCACCAUCUCUUUCCUCCUGAGUCCGGGCGCUCCAAGCCGGUUCCGAGCGAGAUGGGGCCGCUAUGCAGACGAUGCCGGGCGCGGCGGCGGCGAUCUCCGGCCAGAUCCGGUCGGGGAGGCGAGGCAGGGGCCGGAUCCUGUUCCGGGGACGGCGUGGAGGCGAUCUACGAGGCGCAGGAGGAGGUCAGGCGGUGGGGCUUGAACUCCAGCGGGCCCCCUUUUGAUGGACGGGGCCGCCCACAUCGCCAGCGACUCCCCGGAGGACGACAGGGCCUCCUCCUCCGCGUCCUCUACCGGCUCGGCCUCCUGGCGCUCCCGGCCGCACAAGUGGAUUCACCUGCGGCAGCGCCGGCGACCGUUGUCCGCUCGGAGAGGAGAGGGCGGCGAAGCCAACGGCAAGGGCGACGGUGACGACGUGCAGGACCUCGCGCUGCCGCUGGGGAGAUGUCCUUCACGGCGGUUCUCGCCCAGUACAUGCCUUUGGAAAACCAUGGCCAGUGUUGUUUCCACCGGACCGGGUCCUCUCUCCGCUGUUCUGAUCUAAUGUCGACUGCGUGCCGUUGGCUUCCCAUGCACAAGGUCCUACCGGCGGCAUUGGGCACCACGUGGGAAGCGGAAGGAGGAGCCGCAACUCUCCAUGCAAGCUCGGGUCAAUGUCAUCGCAAGUUCCGUGCUCGGCAUUGCUGUUCAAUCUUGCCUCAGCUGAUUUCGCCCGCCGUCUGCCUGAUGCUCCACACUUUGCCGUAACUCAAUCUGCCGGUUCUCCGCUUGAGGUACGUACUGAAGCUAACCUUGCAAGAGGCAGGCAUGGGAGGCAUGAUUGUUGCUGAAGCGGAACUCAUAAAUGUCUCACGUCAUGUGGUUCUGUGCUAUUCUUAAUCUUCUUCUCUGAAGUGUGUAGUUUCAGUUUCACAUCAAAUGUGUUGCGCUUGCAGUGCGUACCAAUGUACAGUUUAUCGAUGUGUAUAUAUGCGGAGUCGAUGGAAAACAUUGAAGCCAGUAGUUGUAUACCUAUUUCAAAAAUCAGCAAGUGGUUAGUAACAUUCUACAUCAAGGUAUUACAGAGAGAAAGGAGUAUCUCCUAUUUUAUUUUUGUGGGAUCGGGAGCAAUUUAGAAACUUAUGAAAAUAUAGGAAUCAUUCUCACUUUAAUCUCCAGUCCUCUUGUUUUGCUUCAUUUAUCAUGCAUUAUGCAUGUCAUAUGUUCCCACAAAUGCCUGGCAGAAGCACAACUUUCAUAGGGAACGUAGAAUGGUCACUUUGGUAGCAGGGCAGAUGCACGUUCCCAUUGUAUAUGUAAAAUUAUAUGCAUAUCUAGCCAUAGAAAUACAUGCAUCUGAACCGCAUCGGACAUAGUGUCGGACUGCCAGCCUAAAAUAUUCCUCUUUAUAUCAUUCUCCAUUUUUGUGAAUAUGCAAAUAUAAGUGCCAUGUAUGUGCUUGUGGAACUUUUGCUGUAAAAUUUCACGCUUCUUUACGAAAAGUAGGUUGAGAAAGUUUUGAUUUUUCUUGGAUAGGUUAUCAUAUGACAGAACGUCUGGGGUGAAAGCUAAGCUACUUCCAAUGGUCCCAAAUGAGAAGGCAAGAAGGUAUCAGCUGUAUGAGAAGAGCCCCGCCCAUGCCCAUUCCAUUCUCUAUGAAGUCAAAAGUUUCCCACUGAAUAUAUUUGGUACUAAAACGGUCGUUAUGUCAGCACCACGAUCGUGUGCCAAUUGUUGGCUCUUAAUUCUUUAGGAUUAUUUGAUUUGUUUGAUUCAUUCUGUUCAUAUUUAUGCAGCAACAAAAUACAUUCAAGAUCAGGGUGUGUGAGGGUUAAACAUGUUAAUUUAUGUGGCAUCAAGCUAUGUAUGUUGAUAGCAUGAUCUCCUUUUCUUUUGCUUUGCAGAAUUAUUCUCGACACUGGAGAUAUAUGCUAAUCCUCUAGCUUUGCUAA